rnacentral:tRNA from 1 species
GCAAGGGUGGUCGAGUGGUUAAUGGCAUCGGGCUGUAAACCCGACGGAGUAACAUCCUACGUAGGUUCAAAUCCUACCCCUUGCACCA